rnacentral:rRNA from 1 species
CAAUAGCGUAUAUUAAAGUUGUUGCAGUUAAAAGCUCGUAGUUGAAUUUCUGGUCAAUUUUAGUUUCGGCUUCGGUCGGUCUAAGGUUGGCCAUCCGUCUGCAAGCUAUUCUCGUCCUUCACUGUGUCGGUUUAGCGAGCUGACAUUUUACUUUGAAAAAUUAGAGUGUUUCAGGCAGGCUUUUGCCCGAAUACAUUAGCAUGGAAUAAUGGAAUUGGACUCUGGUCCAUUUGGUUGGUUAUUGGAUCUGAGUAAUGGUUAAUAGGGACAGUUGGGGGCAUUAGUAUUUAAUUGUCAGAGGUGAAAUUCUUGGAUUUAUUAAAGACUAACUUAUGCGAAAGCAUUUGCCAAGGAUGUUUUCAUUAAUCAAGAACGAAAGUUAGGGGAUCAAAGACGAUUAGAUACCGU